UACAGAGGUCUCGAGCGUUGUUCGGAUUCAUUGGGCGUAAAGGGCGCGUAGGCUGCGGGGCAAGUCGGGUGUGAUAUCUCAGAGCUCAACUCUGAAACUGCACUCGAUACUGCUUUGCUUGAGGACUGGAGAGGAGAUUGGAAUUCACGGUGUAGCAGUGAAAUGCGUAGAUAUCGUGAGGAAGACCAGUGGCGAAGGCGGAUCUCUGGACAGUUCCUGACGCUGAGGCGCGAAGGCCAGGGGAGCAAACGGG
rnacentral:rRNA from 1 species